rnacentral:rRNA from 1 species
GACGAACGCUGGCGGCGUGCUUAACACAUGCAAGUCGAACGGAAAGGCCCUGCUUUUGUGGGGUGCUCGAGUGGCGAACGGGUGAGUAACACGUGAGUAACCUGCCCUUGACUUUGGGAUAACUUCAGGAAACUGGGGCUCCUACCGGAUAGGAGCUCCUGCUGCAUGGUGGGGGUUGGAAAGUUUCGGCGGUUGGGGAAGGACUCGCGGCUUAUCAGCUUGUUGGUGGGGUAGUGGCUUACCAAGGCUUUGACGGGUAGCCGGCCUGAGAGGGUGACCGGCAACAUUGGGACUGGAAUACGGCCCAGACUCCUACGGGAGGCAGCAGUGGGGAAGAUUGCACAAUGGGCGGAAGCCUGAUGCAGCAACGCCGCGUGCGGGAGGACGGCCUUCGGGUUGUAAACCGCUUGCGCCUGUGACGAAGCGUGAGUGACGGUAAUGGGUAAAGAAGCACCGGCUAACUACGUG